AGAAACCCAGUCUUCGGCACCCUCCCUUCAGACUGCUCACGUAUAAUCUACUGCAAAGUUGACAAAACAGGUGGAGAAGCUCAGGCCGAUGGGAUGAAUUCCGAACUCCUCGGCAUGACAUACGUACAGUAACCUUCACGGAAGGAUCCCUGGCUUAGCCUUCCCGUCUCCUCCCCACGACACUCAUGCCCUGCCUCAUGCAGCUUUACGGGGUGCCUCGCUGGCUGAGUCCGUGAAGCGUCUGACUCUGUUUCAGCUCAGCUCACGAUCUCGCGGUUCACGAGUUUGAGCCCAGC